UAAGGGACCAAAAUGGCAAAUACACGCAGAAAUAAAUAAUCCAAGCCAAAUUUGGAAACGACGCCGUUUAUAUAUGGGUCAAAAUGAAAACAAGACCAAAUAUGCGGUUUAAAAUAAAAAGAUUACACAAAAUCCAGUUGAAACGACACGAAAAGAAGGGAGACUGUGUGCUCAAAUAGACCAAACGCCCACAGUACGCGGAUCCUUCCCUGGAUCGGGUCACCGCGCGGGUCGCUGGCCAUUAAACGGCACCGUUUGGGUGAAUGAUAUAAAUAACAAAAACUAAGCAAAGUUCAUUCGGUCUGAAAAGCAAAGAAAAAAAGAAAAUGAAAGAAAAAAAGAAAACCAGAAGGGCAUAAACCCUAAACAAUAUCCUUCCCCUUCCGCCGCUUUGAAAGCCAGAACACUCCCCCCUCUCGUUCCGAUUCGGAUAAAGUAGGGGGUGGCUCCAAUGGUGCGCAAAGUCUGUUUUUUUCUUCCCACAAAGGCCUCUUUUUGCGCUAUUUUAUAGGCCGAAAAUUUCAAACAAAAAAAUAAAUCGAAAAGAAUACAAUUUUCCUUUUCCUCGCUGCGUUUUUUCGUUUACGUUUGUUGCAGGUACGGCCUGGCAGUGUCAGAGACGCGGCCGGCUUGGAGAAGGUGCGCAUGGACCUGGUGCGGAGGCGCAGCACUCGCGGCUGGGGGCGUGGUGGUGCACGCGCGAAAAGGGGCCGACUUGCCUGCGGCGCAAAUUGUUCCAGAAACCCUAGGGUUUCUGGAUGUUUCAAACAAAUGGGCCACUAGAGUUUGGGCCUGUUGUAUUGGGUCAGGGUUUAGGCUAGUAUUUCUGUAUUUGGGUUUAUACUGGGUCUUAAAACUUUAGGCUAAUUGGAUCUGUUUGGAUUUGGGCUUAUUGAUGUAAAGGACUGGACUUUUACUUUUAAAUUGGUUUUAUUUUAUUUGUUUA